rnacentral:rRNA from 1 species
CGGGUGAGUAACACGUAUCCAACCUGCCGUCUACUCUUGGCCAGCCUUCUGAAAGGAAGAUUAAUCCAGGAUGGCAUCAUGAGUUCACAUGUCCGCAUGAUUAAAGGUAUUUUCCGGUAGACGAUGGGGAUGCGUUCCAUUAGAUAGUAGGCGAGGUAACGGCCCACCUAGUCAACGAUGGAUAGGGGUUCUGAGAGGAAGGUCCCCCACAUUGGAACUGAGACACGGUCCAA